rnacentral:rRNA from 1 species
CAAUAGCGUAUAUUAAAGUUGUUGCAGUUAAAAAGCUCGUAGUUGGAUUUCUGGUGGGAGCGAUCGGUCUGGCGCUUAGCGCGAGUACUUGCAUCGUCUCCGGCCAUCCUUGGGGAGAGUCUGUCUGGCAUUAAGUUGUCGGGCAGAGGAUCCUCAUCGUUUACUGUGAAAAAAUUAGAGUGUUCAAAGCAGGCUUAUGCCGUUGAAUAUAUUAGCAUGGAAUAAUAAGAUAGGACUUUGGUACUAUUUUGUUGGUUUGCGCACCAAAGUAAUGAUUAAUAGGGACAGUUGGGGGUAUUCGUAUUCCGUUGUCAGAGGUGAAAUUCUUGGAUUUACGGAAGACGAACUACUGCGAAAGCAUUUACCAAGGAUGCUUUCAUUAA